CAGCAGCCGCGGUAAUACGGAGGGUGCAAGCGUUAAUCGGAAUUACUGGGCGUAAAGCGCACGCAGGCGGUCUGUCAAGUCAGAUGUGAAAUCCCCGGGCUUAACCUGGGAACUGCAUUUGAAACUGGCAGGCUAGAGUCUUGUAGAGGGGGGUAGAAUUCCAGGUGUAGCGGUGAAAUGCGUAGAGAUCUGGAGGAAUACCGGUGGCGAAGGCGGCCCCCUGGACAAAGACUGACGCUCAGGUGCGAAAGCGUGGGGAGCAAACAGGAUUAGAGACCCGAGUAGUCCCUGUCUCUUAUAC
rnacentral:rRNA from 1 species